GUGGAGACUGAGCAAAUCGGUCAGGAGAUGCUGUCCAACCUGAACACUGACCGCGAGAAGAUCCAGAGAGCUAGAGAGAGGUUGAGGGAGACGGACGCCAACCUGGGCAAGAGCUCGCGGAUCCUCACCGGCAUGCUCAGAAGGUAAGAGCCAGGUAGGCCACAUCUCUCUAUGCUUUACCUUUCCACUCCUGUCCCUCGCCUAACCCAGUACAGAAAUCCUUUACACCUGCCCACACCUGACCCACAGUCAGCUGUGUAGAGGGUACCUUUACACCUGCACACACCUGACCCACGCUGGAAACCUUUCGCAGGGUUUAUGUUAAGGGUUGCCUUUACAAAUGUUUGUCUGAACCUAAGCCUGUGUUCCCUUAGUGGCAGUGACUGUGAGAAAGGGCUUAACUUGUAUAUAACCUCGCUACACCUGAACAGAAGCCAUCACACCAUCCGACCGGCCUCCCACCACGAGGUCUUCAACGCGUGGGUUCAGCCAGUCUGUUUACAGCCAGGAAAAAAUAGUAAAAAGAAUGGCUUUUUGAAAAGAAUUACAGCAAAGUGGUUCACUAACCUUAAGUCUUUUGAUCCUUGCGUUUCCUCACAAGGGGUAUCUGUGUGUGGGUUUGUGUGUGUAUGUGUGUGUGCUUUCUUUGUAAUGAUAAACUACAAAUCAAACCGCGCAAUGUUUAACAACAGACAUGUACGGGAGUGCUGCAGCUGUCUGUCUGGUGCCGUGGCCGGGCGGGCUUUGCCCUGUCAAAGGAACUCAGAGAAGGUUCCGGAGUCAUCUCUGUACGCCCCACUGCUCCUCUCCUCCAUUCUUCUUCUUCUUCAUCUUCAUCUUCAUCUUCAUCGUCCUCUUCCUCCUCCUGCUCAUUUCGUGUUUGGUAUUUCAGUUUAUUCAUUUUCUAUAAGGAAUCAACCAACUCUUUGUCAGUCAUUUUCUCUCUUUGUAACCGCAGCCGUGCACGCCCUCACUCUUGUGUGUGUGUGUGUGUGAGUGCGUGCGUGCGUGCCUGUUUGUGCGUUUGUGCGUGUGGGUGCAUGUGUUUGCGAGCCAACCGGUCCCUCGAAUCCACCUGCUAUCUGACAUAAACUCUCAGACGGAACGUAUUUAUGCACGCACACAUGGACACACCCACCCACGCACGCCAACACAUAUACAUACACAGAAACACAGAAACGUCCACAC